CGUUCAGAGACCUAGUGGCCCAUAAUGACUGUCAGAGUAACUUCAGUGAGGAUAAUUAAAGCACAGCAUAUUUUGUCCAUAUCCCUGAUUCCUCCUUGUUACCUUAUUCUCAGGAUACUGGAAGCUGUCAGACGGUGGAGGCUGGGUAUAAAGCUGCUCCUGUUGCUAUCUACUACACAUCAUGAUGGAUAAACUGAGAAUGCAA
rnacentral:lncRNA from 1 species